rnacentral:rRNA from 1 species
GACCAACGCUGGAGGCGUGCUUAACACAUGCAAGUCGAACGGAAAGGCCCUGCUUUUGUGGGGUGCUCGAGUGGCGAACGGGUGAGUAACACGUGAGUAACCUGCCCUUGACUUUGGGAUAACUUCAGGAAACUGGGGCUAAUACCGGAUAGGAGCUCCUGCUGCAUGGUGGGGGUUGGAAAGUUUCGGCGGUUGGGGAUGGACUCGCGGCUUAUCAGCUUGUUGGUGGGGUAGUGGCUUACCAAGGCUUUGACGGGUAGCCGGCCUGAGAGGGUGACCGGCCACAUUGGGACUGAGAUACGGCCCAGACUCCUACGGGAGGCAGCAGUGGGGAAUAUUGCACGAUGGGCGGAAGCCUGAUGCAGCAACGCCGCGUGCGGGAUGACGGCCUUCGGGUUGUAAACCGCUUUCGCCUGUGACGAAGCGUGAGUGACGGUAAUGGGUAAAGAAGCACCGGCUAACUACGUGCCAGCAGCCGCGGUGAUACGUAGGGUGCGAGCGUUGUCCGGAUUUAUUGGGCGUAAAGGGCUCGUAGGUGGUUGAUCGCGUCGGAAGUGUAAUCUUGGGGCUUAACCCUGAGCGUGCUUUCGAUACGGGUUGACUUGAGGAAGGUAGGGGAGAAUGGAAUUCCUGGUGGAGCGGUGGAAUGCGCAGAUAUCAGGAGGAACACCAGUGGCGAAGGCGGUUCUCUGGGCCUUUCCUGACGCUGAGGAGCGAAAGCGUGGGAAGCGAACAGGCUUAGAUACCCUGGUAGUCCACGCUGUAAACGGUGGGUACUAGGUGUGGGGUCCAUUCCACGGGUUCCGUGCCGUAGCUAACGCUUUAAGUACCCCGCCUGGGGAGUACGGCCGCAAGGCUAAAACUCAAAGGAAUUGACGGGGCCCCGCACAAGCGGCGGAGCAUGCGGAUUAAUUCGAUGCAACGCGUAGAACCUUACCUGGGUUUGACAUGGAUCGGGAGUGCUCAGAGAUGGGUGUGCCUCUUUUGGGGUCGGUUCACAGGUGGUGCAUGCCUGUCGUCAGCUCGUGUCGUGAGAUGUUGGGUUAAGUCCCGCAACGAGCGCAACCCUUGUUCACUGUUGCCAGCACGUUAUGGUGGGGACUCAGUGGAGACCGCCGGGGUCAACUCGGAGGAAGGUGGGGAUGACGUCAAGUCCUCAUGCCCCUUAUGUCCAGGGCUUCACGCAUGCUACAAUGGCUGGUACAGAGAGUGGCGAGCCUGUGAGGGUGAGCGAAUCUCGGAAAGCCGGUCUCAGUUCGGAUUGGGGUCUGCAACUCGACCUCAUGAAGUCGGAGUCGCUAGUAAUCGCAGAUCAGCAACGCUGCGGCGAAUACGUUCCCGGGGCU